CACGCGUUUGCUCAGUUAGCCAGGUUUCUCAAGAACUCAAACGACUCGCUUCGAUUUCUUCCAAACAAACAGCACCUUCUUCUUCUUCUGAUGCUGCUGCUGCUGCAAGAAGACGACACUACGAUAGGACUAAGUCCGCAGCUUCGAGUGCUCUCAAGGGACUUAAGUUCGUCACUAAGGGUGGCGGCGGUGGUGGUGGCGGUGUCGGUGGUGC